CCUAGGUCUGAUUAGCUUGUUGGUGGGGUAACGGCCUACCAAGGCGACGAUCAGUAGCUGGUCUGAGAGGAUGAUCAGCCACACCGGGACUGAGACACGGCCCGGACUCCUACGGGAGGCAGCAGUGGAGAAUAUUGGACAAUGGGCGAAAGCCUGAUCCAGCCAUGCCGCGUGUGUGAAGAAGGCCUUAGGGUUGUAAAGCACUUUAAGCAGGAAAGAAAAGCGCCGGAUUAAUACUCCGAGCGUAUUGACGGUACCUGCAGAAUAAGCACCGGCUAACUCCGUGCCAGCAGCCGCGGUAAUACGGAGGGUGCAAGCGUUAAUCGGAAUUACUGGGCGUAAAGCGUGCGUAGGCGGUUGCGUGUGUCGGAUGUGAAAGCCCCGGGCUCAACCUGGGAAUUGCAUUCGAAACUGCGUGACUAGAAU
rnacentral:rRNA from 1 species